rnacentral:rRNA from 2 species
AACGCGAAGAACCUUACCUACUCUUGACAUCCAGAGAACUUAGCAGAGAUGCUUUGGUGCCUUCGGGAACUCUGAGACAGGUGCUGCAUGGCUGUCGUCAGCUCGUGUUGUGAAAUGUUGGGUUAAGUCCCGCAACGAGCGCAACCCUUAUCCUUUGUUGCCAGCGAUUCGGUCGGGAACUCAAAGGAGACUGCCAGUGAUAAACUGGAGGAAGGUGGGGAUGACGUCAAGUCAUCAUGGCCCUUACGAGUAGGGCUACACACGUGCUACAAUGGCAUAUACAAAGAGAAGCGACCUCGCGAGAGCAAGCGGACCUCAUAAAGUAUGUCGUAGUCCGGAUUGGAGUCUGCAACUCGACUCCAUGAAGUCGGAAUCGCUAGUAAUCGUGGAUCAGAAUGCCACGGUGAAUACGUUCCCGGGUCUUGUACACACCG